rnacentral:rRNA from 1 species
GACGAACGCUGGCGGCGUGCUUAACACAUGCAAGUCGAACGGAAAGGCCCUGCUUUUGUGGGGUGCUCGAGUGGCGAACGGGUGAGUAACACGUGAGUAACCUGCCCUUGACUUUGGGAUAACUUCAGGAAACUGGGGCUAAUACCGGAUAGGAGCUCCUGCUGCAGGGUGGGGGUGGGAAAGUGUCGGCGGUUGGGGAUGGACUCGCGGCUUAUCAGCUUGUGGGUGGGGUAGUGGCUUACCAAGGCUUUGACGGGUAGCCGGCCUGAGAGGGUGACCGGCCCCAUGGGGCCUGCGGUACGGCCCAGACUCCUACGGGGGGCAGCAGUGGGGAAUAUUGCACAAUGGGCGGAAGCCUGAUGCAGCAACGCCGCGUGCGUGAUGACGGCCUUCGGGUUGUAAACCGCUUUCGCCUGUGACGAAGCGUGAGUGACGGUAAUGGGUAAAGAAGCACCGGCUAACUACGUG